ensembl:lncRNA
GACGAACAGGCACCGCAGCCCUGCGCUGUGGCCCGUUUCACAGGCAGAGACACCGAGGCCGGAAGGCUCAGCCGCCAGUUUCGCCCCGCCAGGAACCCAGCCAGCCCGGAGCCAGGCUUCAGCGGAGCCGGCUGACCUCUGACCCCGCCGUGUGCCCCUCUGCACUCGACUCGCCCUCGGAGUUAAGAACCUCCACGUUGCCAUCCAUCCAAUGGGGUGCAGAGCAAAGCCUGCCUCCUCCUGGAAGGCUUCCUUGCAUGGAUUUGAACUCUGCAUCUUGAAUCAGCAGCAUGCGUGAACUUAGGCCUAAUCUCUCUCUCAGGGGCCCUGCUCCCAGCCUCCGUGGGUCAGCCUGCCUCCAGGCUUGCCCCUCUGGCUCCUCUCCCACUCUGGCUACCACACACGUCUGGCCCAGUCCCCCCCCCUCCCCUAUAAAUACUCGGAGCCUUCCUGUCACCUGCAGUGCACAGUCCAGACUCUGGCUGGCCGUUGGAGACCUUGCCCCAGGCCUGCCCUCUUCCAUCCCCACCUGGAAUGGCAACCUUGCCCUCCCCCUUAAACGCCGCUUGACCUUUAAAGCACAGCCCCUUGUCACCAGCCCUUCCCCAGCCCCACGGCCCAACUCAGUCCUCUGCCUUCACCCCCAGCUCUACCGUGCCACGAUGAGCUGACCCAAGCCCUUUUCUCAGAGCAAACCACGAGCUCCUCAAGUACAGGAAAGGGAAGAGAGAGGGGAACUCACAUCCUUCAACCCUCGCCACGACCCGAGAGAAAGGUCUCCUGUUCCCAUUUUACAGAGGACAAAAUCGAGGUGCACGGAGUCGAGGUUUCCCCCCACCCCAAGGCCACAGGGUCAGUGACUGGUGAAACUAGGGGCCUUCAGGACGCCCCCUCCUCCCUGGCUUCGAGCCUAGCCCGGUGUGUGUGGGGUGGGGUGGGGGCUGAUCUCUGGGGCGCAGGAAGCGGGGGCGGCCUUGCCAAGCUGAGUCCACCCCAGGCAGGUGUCUGGCUCAGACCUGGUCACCCCUGGAGCCAAGAAGGCAACUCAGUUACUUUCCAGGGGGAGAUAAGCCCUGAAGCUGAUGCUGUCGAGGCCACGAGGUUGUGGGGCAAGCAGCCCAAGAGGCUGUGGGGCCCGGCGUCACUUCCUUUUGAAUACCAUGCACAAGGCGUGCCCGCCUGCGUGGAACCCGGGAAACCAGGGGUGUCUGCUAUAGAGAGGGCUGUGAAGGUGGCUGGCCCGUGCCCCAGCUUUAUGCCAGCGCUCCCAUCUCGGCCAGAAACAAAACCCCAGGCUGGAGCAGGAAGCUGGGCCCCGGCUCCCCCACCAUGCUCCUGGGGGCCGCCACGUUGCUGCGUCUCACCGGUCUCGUUAUACAGAGGCUGCUCAGUAAAUGCUCCUUCCCAUCCCUCUUCCGCGCUGAUUGUGGGGCGUGCCUGCCCCCCGUUCCCCGUGUACUUUGUUUGGCAGUGUUUGGACACCAACUAUGUCGUACGUGUUCUAAAUGAUUAAUGAUCUUUUAUGGAGCACCUCCCGUCUCCCCUUCCCCGCUCCUGAAUGCUUUAGAUAAUUUAUCUCCUAUUAUGACCAGACACCAUUAUCAUGUCCUUGACAGGGUGGCAGAAGUGGGUAAGAAAGCCGGCCAGGGCGCAAUCCCCAUGACUCACUAGCUGCGCAUCCCUGGGCGAACGCCUCGGCCUCACUGUGCCUUGGUAGCCUCCUGCGUAACCCGGGGGUCAUAACACUGC